CAAGACCUUGCGCUGAUUGAGCGGCCGAUAUCAGAUUAGCUAGUUGGUGGGGUAAAAGCCUACCAAGGCGACGAUCUGUAGCGGGUCUGAGAGGAUGAUCCGCCACACUGGAACUGAGACACGGUCCAGACUCCUACGGGAGGCAGCAGUGGGGAAUUUUGGACAAUGGGGGCAACCCUGAUCCAGCCAUGCCGCGUGAGUGAAGAAGGCCUUCGGGUUGUAAAGCUCUUUCAGCCGGGAAGAAAUCGUACAGGCUAAUACCCUGUGCGGAUGACGGUACCGGAAUAAGAAGCACCGGCUAACUACGUGCCAGCAGCCGCGGUAAUACGUAGGGUGCGAGCGUUAAUCGGAAUUACUGGGCGUAAAGCGUGCGCAGGCGGUUUGUAAGACAGGCGGAAUCCCCCGAUAAGCGUUC
rnacentral:rRNA from 1 species